rnacentral:lncRNA from 1 species
AGAGAUAUAUGGCUUGAACAUCCCCUCGAAUGUCAAAUGUCACUUGAUUAAGAAUGCAGUAUAUAAAUUUACCUAAGAAAAGUUAAUUCCAUAAUUUAUGUCAACCUUUUGUAAAGGAUCCAACCAUUCCCUUCCUGACCCAUCAAAAAUAGGAAUCUGGUUUAGUUAAUUUGAUGAACAAUUGAUAGUAAUUAAGCAUAGCCACCUUUACCACGCUUCAGGAUAAUAAGAUAAAUAUAUCAUCAAUCCAAUAG